GCCUGGGUGGCUUAGUUGGUUAAGCGUCUGCCUUCGGCUCAGGUCAUGAUCCCGCAGUCCUGGGAUCGAGUCCCACAUCAGGCU
rnacentral:tRNA from 1 species